rnacentral:rRNA from 1 species
UACAGACGGCGCAAGCGUUAUCCGGAAUGAUUGGGCGUAAAGCGUCUGUAGGUGGUUCUCGAAGUCUACUGUCAAAUCCCCAGGGCUCAACCUUGGACAGGCAGUGGAGAACUCGGGGACUCGAGUACGGUAGGGGUAGAGGGAAUUCCCGGUGGAAGCAGGUGAAAUGCACAGAGAUCGGGGAAGAACACCAGGUGGCGGAAGGCGCUCUCACUAGGCCGGUGGACUGACACUGAGAGACGAUAGCUAGGGGAGCGAAUAGG